rnacentral:rRNA from 1 species
GACGAACGCUGGCGGCGUGCUUAACACAUGCAAGUCGAACGGAAAGGCCCUGCUUUUGUGGGGUGCCCGAGUGGCGAACGGGUGAGUAACACGUGAGUAACCUGCCCUUGACUUUGGGAUAACUUCAGGCAACUGGGGCUAAUACCGGAUAGGAUCUCCUGCUGCAUGGUGGGGGCUGGUAAGUUUCGGCGGUUGGGGUUGGACUCGCGGCUUAUUAGAUUGUUGGUGGGGUAGUGGCUUACCAAGGCUUGGAGGGGUGGCCGGCCUGAGAGGGUGACCGGCCCAGUCAGGACUGGAAUACGGCCCAGACCACACCGGGAGGCAACGGUGGGGUAUAGUGUACAAUGGGCGGAGGCCAAAUCUGGCACCGCCGCGUGCGGGAAGACGGGCUGCGGGUAGUAUACCGCUUUCGCCUGUGACGAAGCGUGAAUGACGGUACUGGGUAAAGAAGCACCGGCUAACUACGUG